rnacentral:rRNA from 1 species
CCUGACGCAGCGACGCCGCGUGAGCGAUGAAGGCCUUCGGGUCGUAAAGCUCUGUCGUAUGGGAAUAAAAAAAUGAAUGUACCAUACAAGAAAGGAUCGGCUAACUUCGUGCCAGCAGCCGCGGUAAGACGAGGGAUCCUAGCGUUGUUCGGAAUCAUUGGGCGUAAAGAGGGCGUAGGUGGCUAUUUAAGUCAGCUGUGAAAGCCUGAGGCUUAACCUCAGAAGUGCAGUUGAUACUAUUUAGCUUGAGUGUGGAAAAGGUAAUUAGAAUUCCUGGUGUAGUGGUGAAAUACGUAGAUAUCAGGAGGAAUGCCGGUUGCGAAGGCGGAUUACUAGUCCAACACUGACACUGAGGCCCGAAAGCGUGGGGAUCAAACAGGAUUAGAUACCCGGGUAGUCCACGCCGUAAACGAUGAAUACUCGUUGUUGGAGGUAUUGACCCCUUCAGUGACUAAGCUAACGCGUUAAGUAUUCCGCCUGGGAAGUACGGUCGCAAGAUUAAAACUCAAAGAAAUUGACGGGGGCCCGCACAAGCGGUGGAGCAUGUGGUUUAAUUCGAUGCAACGCGAAAAACCUUACCUGGGUUUGAAAUAGGCAAGAAAAGUACGAGAAAUCGUCUUCCCGCAAGGGCUUGUUUACAGGUGCUGCAUGGCUGUCGUCAGCUCGUGUCGUGAGAUGUUGGGUUAAGUCCCGCAACGAGCGCAACCCUUGCCUUUAGUUGCCAGCAUUUAGUUGGGCACUCUAGAGGGACUGCCGGUGUUAAACCGGAGGAAGGUGGGGAUGACGUCAAGCCCUCAUGGCCCUUAUAUCCAGGGCUACACACGUGCUACAAUGGCGGUCACAAAGGGCAACAGCAAAGUCGCGAGAUGAAGCUAAUCCCAUAAAAGCCGUCCAAGUUCGGAUUGCAGUCUGCAACUCGACUGCAUGAAGUUGGAAUCGCUAGUAAUCGCGGAUCAGAUGCGCGUGAUACGUUCCCGGGCUGUACACACGCCGUCACACCAUGAAGUCGGUGUACAGAGUCGCUGAGCUAACAUUGAGGC